rnacentral:rRNA from 1 species
GAUGAACGCUGGCGGCGUGCCUAAUACAUGCAAGUCGAGCGAACAGACGAGGAGCUUGCUCCUCUGACGUUAGCGGCGGACGGGUGAGUAACACGUGGAUAACCUACCUAUAAGACUGUGAUAACUUCGGGAAACCGGAGCUAAUACCGGAUAAUAUAUUUAACCGCAUGGUUCAAUAGUGAAAGACGGUUUUGCUGUCACUUAUAGAUGGAUCCGCGCCGCAUUAGCUAGUUGGUAAGGUAACGGCUUACCAAGGCAACGAUGCGUAGCCGACCUGAGAGGGUGAUCGGCCACACUGGAACUGAGACACGGUCCAGACUCCUACGGGAGGCAGCAGUAGGGAAUCUUCCGCAAUGGGCGAAAGCCUGACGGAGCAACGCCGCGUGAGUGAUGAAGGUCUUCGGAUCGUAAAACUCUGUUAUUAGGGAAGAACAAAUGUGUAAGUAACUAUGCACGUCUUGACGGUACCUAAUCAGAAAGCCACGGCUAACUACGUG